rnacentral:rRNA from 1 species
UACGUAGGGUGCAAGCGUUUGUCCGGAAUUAUUGGGCGUAAAGAGCUCGUAGGCGGUUUGUUGCGUCGGCUGUGAAAUCCCGAGGCUCAACCUCGGGUCUGCAGUCGAUACGAGCAAACUAGAGUGUUGCAGGGGAGACUGGAAUUCCUGGUGUAGCGGUGAAAUGCGCAGAUAUCAGGAGGAACACCGGUGGCGAAGGCGGGUCUCUGGGCCAUUAACUGA